CUGCUGCCUCCCGUAGGAGUUUGGUCCGUGUCUCAGUACCAAUGUGGGGGGUUAACCUCUCAGUCCCCCUAUGUAUCGUUGUCUUGGUGAGCCGUUACCCCACCAACUAACUAAUACAACGCAUGCCCAUCCAUUACCACCGGAGUUUUCAACCCAAGAAGAUGCCUCCCUGGAUGUUAUGGGGUAUUAGUACCGAUUUCUCAGUGUUAUCCCCCUGUAAUGGGUAGGUUGCAUACGCGUUACGCACCCGUGCGCCGGUCGCCGACA
rnacentral:rRNA from 1 species